UACGAAGGGGGCUAGCGUUGCUCGGAAUCACUGGGCGUAAAGCGCACGUAGGCGGCUUUCUAAGUCAGGGGUGAAAUCCUGGAGCUCAACUCCAGAACUGCCUUUGAUACUGGAGAGCUUGAGUCCGGGAGAGGUGAGUGGAACUCCGAGUGUAGAGGUGAAAUUCGUAGAUAUUGGAAGAACACCAGUGGCGAAGGCGGCUCACUGGCCCGGUACUGACGCUGAGGUGCGAAAGCGUGGGGAGCAAACAGGG
rnacentral:rRNA from 1 species